rnacentral:rRNA from 1 species
GUGCCAGCAGCCGCGGUAAGACAGAGGGUGCAAACGUUGCUCGGAAUCACUGGGCGUAAAGGGCGUGUAGGCGGAUAGAUAAGUCGGGCGUGAAAGCCCCAGGCUCAACCUGGGAACUGCACUCGAAACUGUUUAUCUUGAGUGCCGGAGAGGAAAGCGGAAUACCUGGUGUAGAGGUGAAAUUCGUAGAUAUCAGGUGGAACACCAGUGGCGAAGGCGGCUUUCUGGACGGUAACUGACGCUGAGACGCGAAAGCGUGGGGAGCAAACAGGAUUAGAUACCCUGGUAGUCC